rfam:Alcanivorax sp. Nap_24 scaffold_117, whole genome shotgun sequence.
UGUUCCCUGGACCGUGCGCCAGCCGGGUUACGUCCCUGCCGAUGCUUUACCCUUAGGGGUCCAAAUUGGUGUGCCUGUGUGCAUGUCCGCCUUCGAGCGGAAAGCCUGAGGGCAUUAACCUGCGGUCCCCGCCUUGAACUUUUCGGUUCAAGGGCUACACCCGCAGCGGCGGUUCGGGGGGCAC